UAUAUGGGCUAUAUAUGUAUACACGAUUUUUAAACUGCAUCUCACCAGUACAGAGCUGGCUGAGGCAGCACUGUGUUGACCCAUGUGGGGAGGUGCUCUUAGAACUCUAUUGGGCCGGAACCAUGUGAGGAGGUGCUCUUAGAACUCUACUGGGCCAGACCCAUGUGAGGAGGUGAGGCUGAAGUCUGUGCCGGGUGAUCAGAAUCAGAAUCAGAAUUGUAUUUAUUGCCAAGUAAGUUUACACCUACCUGGAAUUUGCUCUGGUGUAUAGGAUGAGGCUGUUGCAGAGGAACAGUGGGAUCUGGAAGGCUACACACACUUAGGGGCGUGGGGCCAAAAUCAGCAUUGGGAUCUUCCAUCAGGACCGGCUUCACACACGCAGGAAGUGACCUCUGAGUGAACACAACAAGGAGUGGUGGUGAUGGUGAUGAUGAUGAUGAUGUACAUUUUUCAUACAUAGUGAAAAGUAAACCAACAAGCAAAAAACACAUGUAGUAAUGGGCCAAGCACAAGCAGAGAGGCACAUUUCCAGUAUGUUUUAAGUCAUUCUUAUGAUUUUGAUAAUAAUGAGUAUGGCCGAUGUUUUAAAACUUUAAAUCUUUAAAUCUAUAGGAAAUUAGAUCAUCUAUGAGUUCAUUUCAACACAUGCAGCAAGAGAUCAACUAUGUGAGGUUUUUCUUUAUUCAUUCUUGUUAUUGAGGUUAUAUGUCAUGAUGAAUAAGACAUGGGCUUCUGUAUGUUUCAAUGUUUACAUCUAUA
ensembl:lncRNA